AGUCAAAAUUGGAAUGAAGAGAGAAGAUAAAAACCAACUUUGCCUAGACAACUUUAACCUAGACGAACCCGUGUUUCUGCUAAGCAGCAAGCAUCAAAGCUGUCCGUCGGGUCGGGUCUUCGGUGUUGAAUUAACAAAGCAUGGACAUCAGAAACUUUUCUUUCGCCGCAUCUACUCCACCGUUACCGGUAAUCGCCGCUGCCAAGCUCGCCGGAAUCUCUCUCCCGAUCGAUACCUCUCUCUCUCCUGACUCCGCUCCCACAUUUCUCUUCUCGGAUGGGCUAAAAUUGCAUGGAGUGUUUGUUCUUCUACGUCAUAUUGGGCGAGUUGCCAGCCUUCCCAAUUUCUAUGGGCAAAAUGCACUUGAAUCUGGCCAGAUUGAUGAAUGGCUGGAGUAUGCUCCUAUCCUCUCAUCAGGCCCUGCUUUUGAGAAUGGAUGCAAAUAUAUAGAUGAGUACUUGGGGAAGCGUACAUUUGUGGUUGGUUAUUCAUUAUCAAUUGCAGAUGUAGCAAUCUGGGCAGGUCUUACAGGAACUGGAAAGAGAUGGGAAAGUUUAAGGAAGUCAAAGAAAUAUUCGAAUCUUGUACGAUGGUUCAAUUCAAUAGUGACAGAACAUGGUACUGCUCUAAAUGAAGUCACAUCAAUCUAUGUUGGAAAAAAAGGAUUGGGAGAGCCAUCAGCAACCAAGUCAAGAGACCAGUCAGUAGUCACUGAUAAAGUGAAGAGUGUGAAUGGGGAUGUAUCUGAAAACAUCAAAGGAGGAAGCAAACCUUCGGCAGAAAUAGAUCUUCCAGAUGCUGAAGUUGGAAAAGUUCGCUUGCGAUUUGCACCUGAACCAAGUGGCUAUCUUCACAUUGGACACUCAAAAGCCGCUCUGUUGAACAAAUAUUUCGCUGAGCGAUAUCUAGGCCAGGUUAUUGUGCGUUUUGAUGAUACCAAUCCUGCUAAAGAAAGCAACGAAUUUGUGGACAACCUUGUGAAAGACAUUGAUACAUUGGGUAUUAAAUAUGAAAAAAUUACGUACACAUCUGACUACUUCCCUGAAUUGAUGGAAAUGGCUGAAAAUUUAAUUCUCCAGGGUAAAGCAUAUGUUGAUGACACUCCACGUGAACAAAUGCAAAAGGAGAGAAUGGAUGGCAUAGAAUCUAGAUGCAGAAAUAAUAGUAUAGAGGAGAAUAUAAAAUUAUGGAAGGAAAUGAUUGCAGGAUCAGAGAGGGGCUUACAGUGUUGUGUCCGUGGCAAGUUGGAUAUGCAAGACCCAAACAAAUCCCUUCGAGAUCCUGUUUAUUAUCGUUGCAAUCCAAUUCCUCAUCACAGAAUUGGAUCCAAGUAUAAAGUGUAUCCAACUUAUGAUUUUGCUUGUCCAUAUGUUGAUGCCAAGGAAGGCAUCACGCAUGCCCUUCGAUCUAGUGAAUACCAUGAUCGCAAUGCCCAGUAUUACAGAAUUCAAGAGGACAUGGGUCUUAGAAAAGUUCUCAUCUAUGAAUUCAGCCGGUUGAAUAUGGUCUACACUCUUCUCAGCAAACGGAAGCUUCUAUGGUUUGUCCAAAAUGGGAAAGUUGAUGGCUGGGAUGAUCCACGAUUUCCUACAGUGCAAGGAAUUGUGCGUAGAGGUCUGAAAAUUGAGGCACUGAUACAGUUUAUUGUUGAACAAGGGGCAUCCAAAAAUCUCAAUCUCAUGGAAUGGGACAAGCUCUGGACCAUAAAUAAGAAAAUUAUUGACCCUGUCUGUCCCAGACACACAGCUGUCAUUGCCGAAAGACGUGUGUUGUUGACAGUCACUGAUGGUCCCGAGAAACCAUUUGUCCGCAUCAUACCACGGCACAAGAAAUAUGAAGCCGCCGGAGAUAAAGCUACAACAUAUUCUAAAAGGAUAUGGAUUGACUAUGCUGAUGCAGAGUCAAUAUCAGCAGGUGAGGAAGUAACAUUGAUGGAUUGGGGAAAUGCCAUAGUGAAGGAAAUAGAGAAGGACCAAGAUGGAAAAGUCACAGGGUUGAGUGGUGUUUUGCAUAUUGAAGGAUCUGUGAAGACCACAAAAUUGAAACUCACUUGGCUACCUGACAUAGAUGAACUGGUUAGCCUGACAUUGAUGGAAUAUGAUUAUCUAAUUACAAAGAAAAAGGUACGGGUUCAUCCACUUUUAUUGAGCCUGUUGUUUUUUAACAAACUGAAUUUAGGAACUACUUUUAACAAAAAUAUAGUAAUUCUAUCUACUCUUUUGUUUAUAUGACCACACGCACACAAUCGGAUCAUCCCCCACCUAUCAGCCUUGGCUUUAAAUUGAGGAUAAAAUGGCACUUGCAUCUAAGCAACUAUUUGUCUAUAACAUCAGCUAGAAGAAGGGGAGGAUUUCAUUGAUGUACUUAACCCAUGCACCAAAAAGGAAACUCUAGCUUAUGGAGACUCUAACAUGCGAAAUAUUCAGCGUGGAGAUGUAUUGCAGCUGGAGAGAAAGGGAUAUUUCAGGUGUGAUGUGCCCUUUGUUCGUCCCUCAAAACCAAUAGUGUUAUUUGCAAUCCCCGAUGGAAGGCAGCAGACAUGUUUGAAGUAACAUUUUUGUUCUCAAACUGCUUAGAGCAUAACCCACAUUCACACUUGGCACAGUUGGUAAUGGGGAUAUCAAGUUAACUAGUGCAACUACUUUUUAUGUUUACCAUCAUUACCAUUUUAUGUUCAUAAGCAAACUGUUAUAAUUGGAUUCUUGUCUCGGCAAUUGGAAAAGUCUUCUCUCUCUGUUUUUCUU